AACGCGAAGAACCUUACCAGCCUUUGACCUCCUGUGCUGCAUGGAGAGAUCCAUGGUUCCCUUCGGGGACGCAGAGACAGGUGCUGCAUGGCUGUCGUCAGCUCGUGUCGUGAGAUGUUGGGUUAAGUCCCGCAACGAGCGCAACCCUCGCCCCUAGUUGCCAGCAUUCAGUUGGGCACUCUAGGGGGACUGCCGGUGAUAAGCCGCGAGGAAGGUGGGGAUGACGUCAAGUCCUCAUGGCCCUUACGGGCUGGGCUACACACGUGCUACAAUGGCGGUGACAAUGGGCAGCGAGCCUGCGAAGGUGAGCUAAUCCCAAAAAGCCGUCUCAGUUCGGAUUGCACUCUGCAACUCGAGUGCAUGAAGUCGGAAUCGCUAGUAAUCGCGCAACAGCAUGGCGCGGUGAAUACAUUCCCGGGUCUUGUACACACCG
rnacentral:rRNA from 1 species